rnacentral:rRNA from 1 species
UACGGAGGGUGCGAGCGUUGUCCGGAAUCACUGGGCGUAAAGGGCGCGUAGGCGGCGCGGGGAGUCAACGGUGAAAGCUCGGCGCUCAACGCCGAGUCGGCCGUCGAUACUCCCGUGCUCGAGCACUGUAGAGGCAGGUGGGAAUUCCGGGUGUAGCGGUGGAAUGCGUAGAGAUCCGGAAGAACGACCGGUGGCGCAAGGCGGCCUGAGCUGGGCCAGUAGCUG